AGCUCAUCUUCAAGUGAGGAAUGUUUAACAGUUUGUGGGAGGACAUAGUUUGCGGUGAAAAUGACCCAGUUUUAUUUUUAAAAACACUAGGCUACCGGAAUAUGCUCAAUGCCCUCAAAAAUGCUGAAAAGACUGAAGAAGCAGACUUCAGCUAGAGGACGAAAGAAAGGAGGAUGGGUGGGAGUGAGGCAGAGAGAGGAGAGGAAGGAGGGUGAUUGGACAAUCACGGAUAGAGCAAGCACUAGAGAGAGAGAGAGAGAGACAGAGAGAGAGAGAUAGAGAGAGAGAGAGAGAAUAGGGGAGAUUCAGUUGCUCCAACUGCAGAUAGAGACAACAAUCCUAUUCAGCAGCAUCCUGAUGUAAUAAAGCCCAGCCUCCCUCACGCCACUGGAGAAACGCCGGCUCUCUCCCUCACUUCAGAGAUCCCUCUUCGCCCCUGCAGCCUCUCGGAUGCCGUGUGCAGCGCACUCCUCCUCCUCCUGCCUGGGCUACAGCGGCUGUGUCUCAGGUCUUUCCACCUGCUCCCAGCUCCAGCGGCUCAUGGGACCUCCUGCUAAUUCAGAUGGAGCCUCGCACCGAGAUCCCAGUGGGAACGUGAAGGGGGAAGUUCAUCUCUAAGGCACGCGAGACACUUCCGCAGCAGCGGAGAAAUAAGCAGGGGGAAGGAAGAAAGGCUGACAACCAGGAGGAGAAAAAGUGGACCAUUGUUCUAAUAAAGCUCCUGUGACUCUUAUUACUCAGGAUUUAAUAACAGCAGGACUGGCCCUCUGCCAAGACCCAAAUCUCAUUUGAAGUUCAUUUUGAAAGCGGCCAGUGUGGUUCUGCCUGUAAGAAUCGCACAAGACUGAUGCAAGGGCUUAAGGUGCAUGCAGGGAGAGCUUCGGUAAAGGGGGAAAACCUCUGAUUUGCCAAUCAAGCGGCCUGGGCCCGGGGUGACCUUGCAGGGGUUCGUCUACCGCCAUUUUUAGCCAAGUGGAAGGAAGGACAAAACCGUGACGUGUAUUUUGUCCUUUGACGUAUCGGCGUCAUUGUGUGGCUUACCUCUGCUACACUGCCUGAUCCCUGAAAAAAAAAUAUAUCAAUGAGGCUCAAAAUACAAGGUGGCUCUUUGCCCGUAUCCCUGGCAACCAAUGGCACCCGGACGGGUGUCUCCUUGACCGACCUCACCGAGGCGGUUGUUCCCAGACACCACGAGGACUCGUCCUCAUCCAUCAUCGCUUUGAUGGUUGUGCUGGCUCUAGGCUGCGCCGUGAUCCUUGCGUCGCUGGUGACUUUCCACUGCCACAAAUGGCAGCUUCACAGCAGGAAGCUCAGGAGAGCGCAGGCAGAGUAUGAGAGUGAUCGCAGCGGAGGCGCUGAGAGACCAGGCGCGGGAUCCUCGCUGAGAGCUUGAGCGUCUUUCCUCUGGGGCGGGUAGGAAUGUACAUAAGGAAUGCACUUCCUGUUAACAGUCAGCUGUCUCAAAGAAUGCAGGGACACAACAAAAUGGAUGACGAUCCAUCCUGGAUGUUGACACUAGUCAAGGUCUAAGAGAAUACCUAUUUUUCUGAAGCACUCAUACAUAAAAAGAAAAAACAUACAUUAAUCAACAUAGCUGAGCUAAUUGAAGAAGGUUUUAUUUAGCGUAGACAAUAGUGAGGUUGUUUUUUGCAUUGGGGUGAGUUCAAAAAUUUAAAUAUGUUUUAUAUAACUGAAAUAUUGAAAUCCCUGGUGAAGGCCACAUUCUAAAACACUGAUUAAGUUAAAAAAUGUCUCUUUCUUUUUAAGAAUAUAUCUAUAUUGAACGUUUUCCAUUACAAUCAGACACAUGUAGAAUACAGUGUAGGGUUUAAUACAAUGAUAUUGUCCCAUCACACCCAUCCCAUACCUAGUCACCUCAAUCAGGAAAAAGGAAGAGAAAAAACUAUCAUAGGGUUCAUCAGUUUAAGCAGCACACAAAUUGAAAAAAAUAUUGCUAUUUAUAUAUUAUAUCAAUAUUAACAUAAUAAUAUGGCUUUGUGUCCCUAGGCAGUGUAUGAAACUCCAGGUUCUGUGUAAAUAACAGCUCAUAAAUAAUAUCACUAUCAGUAGUUUUCUGCAGGAUUUGUAACCUGCUCUUCUUCACUGAGAAAAACUGCAACUUAUGUAUUUUUCUUCAUUUUCUUGUCCAUUAACAAGCAUUACUGAUGGAAGUAACUGAUAAAAUUUUCAGACUGGUUCCUGCUAUGUACUCAGGAGAAGAAUAUCCUCGUCUAAAUCCUUCUUUAUGAUCAGCAAGUCCAAAAUGUCAUCAGAAAUCAGCUGUGAGACAUUUGCUUUUCUAAAGCACUGCUACAGUGGACUCGCUGAACUGUGGAUACUGCUUAUACUGUGUAAGUAUAAGAGGAAACCUGGCAUUUCACCUUUCUUUGCACUUCACAACACAUCUCACACAUUACUAUUAUGCUAAGUAUUUUUGAUGGACUUUUCCUACUUUCUCCUCCUAUGUCUCUGAUUUGGAAUUGGCAAAUGUAUUAUAGAAAUAUGUGCACUCCUCCAAUACACUCGUGUCCAAGACAGCGGCAGUGUCCCUCACUGUCAGCCACACAGCAUGCUACUGGAUAGCUAGGGCCCAUUUGAGGAGAAGCACGUGACUCGCUGACUGACAGUUGGUUUCCAGUCACUGAUCUCCUGGUCAGAGCUGCUUAAUGAAAUAGCCCAGUUUUAACCGCGCAGUGGCAAGGCUGCGGGAUUCCACGCUUGUUCACGCCUUCACCAUUCGCUGUACCAGUUGGCAUAGCUGCUCUGAUAUAUUUAAUAUUUUAUAAGUUAUUAAACAUAUCACAAAGUAGACUUGGACCGGCAGCCCACUGUAAUACACAAAACUGUCCACAAUUCCCACUUCAGAAGUGCACACACAUGCAGAAAAAGUCACAUUUCUUUUUAUUGAGAACACCUUCAUAUAGCACACAUAGCACCUUCCUGAGUAUGAAGUGGCUCAUUUAUGAAGCAUUAAAUAAGCGGAAAUAACAUGGCUGAUGUAUGUGUACAGUAACAUAGUGUGUCAUGUACAGAACCAAACAGGAAAAUGUGAGUCUCUGGGGUGCUGUGAAACACACUUGCUUAUAUACAGUUUGUAAGACUAGGCUCAGGAAGGUGUUACGUACACAUUAUGAAGCUCUUAUCGAGGUAGUGGCCAAAUCGAUUUUAGCUUCUGCAUACUGUGUGUGGAUUUUGUAUCGGAAACAAUCAGCACAAAAGGAGAAAUAAAAAUCUUACCAUGACAUACAUGUCCAAAAUAGUGCUGAAUUUGCAGGGAUGUUUUGUGAACAAUGCAUAAUAUACUUAUAUAGGAGUGGACAGUAUUCGUAAUCCUUCCCUUGUACUGAUUUUUGUUAACUUUGACACUAAUGUGAACAUGUAUAUACUACUUGCUUGCCAUUUUUCGGUCAUAAAAGAUGCACUUUUCCUCAGUUUUCUCUUAAUUCCGUAAAAAUACUACCUUAUGUGCUGAAAAUGGACAAUAGAAUUUCUUCCCGUUUACUGAUGACAACUCAUACUUAUGACCAGGACAAAUAUAAUUAUGUUUUUAUAUUUAUGCUUCUAAAAAUGUACUGCCUUCCUGUUCUGAGUAGAAAGGUAAAAACAGGCCCUGUUUCUCGUUAGUUUCUCUACAAAUAAACGGUGAGGUAGUGCUGCAUCCUUCCCCACAUGUUUAUUAAUGGUAUUUUAUGGAACUUUAUGGGGUGAUAAACUUAAAGAUGCCACACCCCUCCUUUCCAACUGCUUUUAUUAAAGGAACAGCAAAGAGGCUUUCCAUGUUUCAUUUAUAAAUGGUGAGUAGAUACGGAUGCAAUUAUCAAUUAACAGAAUGUUAAUGGUUUAUUCAUUACGGAAAUGUAACAUUUAUUACUGGUGUUUGCAGUUUAAUGGUAUUCAAGAAAUUUAUUUUUGGCUUUAUUGAUGCUUGUUUCCAUUAUUAGCCAACAGCACUGGCAGUUUACCGAAGGGUGUGUAGUUAUGUCCUUCAAGAGUCUGUGUGCCUCUUUUAAACUGGCAAAAACAGAACUAUUAAAGCGCUACAGUUUUAAAUGUGUUAAGACAAUAAAAGCACCAAAUCUCA